rnacentral:rRNA from 1 species
CUUCAAAUUGACAUCAAAAAAGCCUUUGACUCGGUGCGUUGGGACUUCCUCCUCGACCUACUUCGACACCUUGGUUUCCUGCCUCGCUUCAGAGGUUGGGUUUCGGCCCUGCUGUCCUCGGCUUCCUCUCGUGUU